rnacentral:rRNA from 1 species
GCAAGUCGAACGCUCUAGAUCUUCGGAUCAAAGGGAGUGGCGAACGGGUGAGUAACACGUAAGAAACUUGCCCCAAAGACGAGGAUAACCAUUGGAAACGAUGGCUAAUACUGGAUAGGAUAUUUGAUCGCAUGAUCUUAUAUUUAAAGGUGCGUUUGCACCACUUUGGGAUAGUCUUGCGCUGCAUUAGCUAGUUGGUAGGGUAACGGCCUACCAAGGCGACGAUCCAUAGCUGGUCUGAGAGGAUGAUC